UGCCCUAGUCGCCUCGGUGGAAUGCAUUGAAGAAAGGAAUCCACUCUCAACCCUUUAAUUUUUUUUUAUAGAAUGGUAAGCCAGCCGGUCUUAUUCUUUUAUACGAGUAAACAACUUCUGCUCUAACUCCUUGAGGAAAAAGUCUUGCAUCUCGCCCAGCCAGAAAGAAUAAGCGAAAAAGUACUACUAUUGGCCUGGCCCCACAGAUAUGAAGAGGGAGCUUAGCGACCUAUCCUGUACCUGUAAACAAGCGAAGCUAUCAAGUAAGGCAAGCUAUAGCAAGGGAGUGAGUAAAGAAUUUUAGUAGUGAUAGAAAGGAAGCACGGAUAGCGAGUUGUUAUUCUAAAGUCUCAUUUAUAUAAACAAUACCGGCUUCAAAGGCAGUCCAUCCUGCUAGUUCAUGAUUGAUAGCUGUCAGUCAGGUAGGCCGCCCGUUGUUUUAAGUUCGAUCAUUGACAAGGUUCAAAGAAAGGGUAACCCACCUAUCGUUGUGAAAUAAGAGCACUCGAUCGAAGACAAUGUCAAUUGGCCAAGCCAUAAGCACGAUGAGCAAGCCGCCCGCCCUGGUGCCAAGCUAAGUCCCAAGC
rnacentral:lncRNA from 1 species